rnacentral:tRNA from 1 species
UGGUGGGCGUGGCGAGCUUGGCGUAACGCAGUGUCAUCUCCGGGGUGACGUGGCCCAUGAGGGCCAUCAGCGCGGGCAGCCCGAUACCGCCGUUAAUCAG